rnacentral:rRNA from 1 species
GAUGAACGCUGACAGAAUGCUUAACACAUGCAAGUCUACUUGAACUUCGGUUUGGGUGGCGGACGGGUGAGUAACGCGUAAAGAACUUGCCUCACAGUUAGGGACAACAUUUGGAAACGAAUGCUAAUACCUGAUAUUAUGAUUUUAGGGCAUCCUAAGAUUAUGAAAGCUAUAUGCACUGUGAGAGAGCUUUGCGUCCCAUUAGCUAGUUGGAGAGGUAACGGCUCACCAAGGCGAUGAUGGGUAGCCGGCCUGAGAGGGUGAACGGCCACAAGGGGCUGAGACACGGCCCUUACUCCUACGGGAGGCAGCAGUGGGGAAUAUUGGACAAUGGACCAAAAGUCUGAUCCAGCAAUUCUGUGUGCACGAUGACGUUUUUCGGAAUGUAAAGUGCUUUCAGUUGGGAAGAAAAAAAUGACGGUACCAACAGAAGAAGUGACGGCUAAAUACGUG